GUUAUAAGGUUGGAGUUCCCUUUGCUCCAAGUCCUAAAGGAGAUAUAAUAGUAAACCUCUGCUGCCAGUUCAUGGAUACCUAUGGUUUUGUAACAACAUGUGUUCCAACCUCAAGGGUUUGCAUGAAUUGGGAGAUGAGUUUACCCUUAUCUUUUGGUAUUGGAGUGAAGGGAACUCCACCAUCUCGAUCU